UGAAACAGCAACCUGAUAACCUAGAUUGCUAUUAACUAAAUUUUCAGGAUUGCCAUUCAUGCCCUGGCGAAUGUAUGGUAUUUAGAACAUCUUGGAUUUCCCAUCACCCUUUGUCUUUCUGUGUCUAUGUUGGCCUUAUUCAUAUAACAAACCUGGGUAAUCUAGUUCAUGUGAAAAGUGGUGGAGCAAACAACUCAGAACAUGUUACCUGUUCCGUUGACUCUGCAACUUCCAAGCAGGGCAGUUCGACUUGGAUAUACAAACCCAAAGAACAUGCUGAUCUCCAUUUGAAGAGGCUUCUAAACACCAGAAGGGACACAGCUUGCUGGGGGAAGGUCUGUGGGCCAGAGAUGUAUUUUGUUUUAAGAGAAAAGUCAGAAAGACAAGGAAAUCAAGAUUCUACCUCCCAACCAUCCAGGACUAAGGUCUCUUCCAAAGAUCACCCAAGUGGGCAUAUAUGACUCAAGGAACAAGAGGCAAAGCAUUCAGGAUGCCUUUAGAAGCCUUAGAUCUAAGAACCGUCUAAGACUGGGAAAGACUUGGGAUAGAAAAGACCCAGAAAAUCUGGGAGACACCCGGAAGACAUCUAGACCAAGGGUCUGCAAACUAUGACCUGACAACCAAAGCUGGCCUACUGCCUGUUUUUACAAAUAAAGUGUUACAGGAACACAGCCAUGCCCAU
rnacentral:lncRNA from 1 species